GAUGAACGCUGGCGGCGUGCCUAAUACAUGCAAGUCGAGCGAACAGAUCAGGAGCUUGCUCCUCUGACGUUAGCGGCGGACGGGUGAGUAACACGUGGAUAACCUACCUAUAAGACUGGGAUAACUUCGGGAAACCGGAGCUAAUACCGGAUAAUAUAUUGAACCGCAUGGUUCAAUAGUGAAAGACGGUUUUGCUGUCACUUAUAGAUGGAUCCGCGCCGCAUUAGCUAGUUGGUAAGGUAACGGCUUACCAAGGCAACGAUGCGUAGCCGACCUGAGAGGGUGAUCGGCCACCCGGGAACUGAGACACGGUCCAGACUCCUACGAGAGGCAGCAGUAGGGAAUCUUCCGCAAUGGGCGAAAGCCUGACGGAGCAACGCCGCGUGAGUGAUGAAGGUCUUCGGAUCGUAAAACUCUGUUAUUAGGGAAGAACAAAUGUGUAAGUAACUAUGCACGUCUUGACGGUACCUAAUCAGAAAGCAACGGCUAACUACGUG
rnacentral:rRNA from 1 species